GCCUGGUCACGUGAGUGAAUUUCCUCCUGGAUUGCAUUGAAUCUGCACUGUUUUGGAGACUGGCAGAUCCGUCGUUGAUAAAGCCACAUGUGCAGGGUCAUCAUCAGUUGAUGUACUUCCAUCCUAGCUGAUACUGUUGAUUUUUCCCUGCCAGGAAGCUUCCUGACACAGCCUGCACCCCAGUGGACUUCCCAAAGCAAGUUGAGUCUGACUUCGCACCCCUGACAUCAGAAUCAUCUGACUUCUGGGCACGCCACUGAAUACUGAUGUACCUGAAGGAACCCUGGGUACCAAACAUGCUCAAGUGAAUGAAUGGUGUCCAGGACAAAGCCCAGCAGGUGUCCAGACAAUGGCCUCCCACCAGAGAUCUUGUCAGCACGCCGCUCUGAGCACUGUGUGCCUUAGUGUCUUUGUGUCCUGGUUGCAAUGAAGUCUUUCUCCAUAAUGUCAGUUUUUAUACUUUUUGACCUAGUAGGACAUCAGAUGAUGAAUUUUCAUGUGAUAUGAAUUCAGCCUAGGUAUGUCUUAGGAUUG
rnacentral:lncRNA from 1 species